UACGAAGGGGGCUAGCGUUGUUCGGAAUUACUGGGCGUAAAGGGCGCGUAGGCGGCGUGUCAAGUCAGGCGUGAAAGCCCCGGGCUCAACUCGGGAACUGCGCUUGAUACUGUCGAGCUAGAGUGUGGAAGGGGCGAUUGGAAUUCCGUGUGUAGCGGUGAAAUGCGUAGAUAUACGGAGGAACACCAGAGGCGAAGGCGGAUCGCUGGGCCAACACUGACGCUGAGACGCGAAAGCUAGGGUAGCAAACGGG
rnacentral:rRNA from 1 species